GACGAACGCUGGCGGCGUGCCUAAUACAUGCAAGUAGAACGCUGAAGCUUGGUGCUUGCACCGAGCGGAUGAGUUGCGAACGGGUGAGUAACGCGUAGGUAACCUGCCUGGUAGCGGGGGAUAACUAUUGGAAACGAUAGCUAAUACCGCAUAAGAGUAGAUGUUGCAUGACAUUUGCUUAAAAGGUGCAAUUGCAUCACUACCAGAUGGACCUGCGUUGUAUUAGCUAGUUGGUGAGGUAACGGCUCACCAAGGCAACGAUACAUAGCCGACCUGAGAGGGUGAUCGGCCACACGGGGACUGAGACACGGCCCAGACUCCUACGGGAGGCAGCAGUAGGGAAUCUUCGGCAAUGGACGGAAGUCUGACCGAGCAACGCCGCGUGAGUGAAGAAGGUUUUCGGAUCGUAAAGCUCUGUUGUAAGAGAAGAACGAGUGUGAGAGUGGAAAGUUCACACUGUGACGGUAUCUUACCAGAAAGGGACGGCUAACUACGUG
rnacentral:rRNA from 1 species